rnacentral:ncRNA from 1 species
CCCCUUGACAAGGAUGGAAGAUGCCCUUGGUCCUAACAACACACACAUGGUUAAGGCAUUACCAUCUACUUUGUGGUGUUUAGAAUUAAUUUGAA